UGGCACAUUUUUGUUUAAUUCAUUAAAAUAUUCAGCCAAACUGUUGAGAAUUGAUAAAAAAUAUCCUUGUUCCUCUCUUUUGCGAGUAUAUUGGAACCAAAAGUUAUCCAAUAUGCAUCUUUGAGCUUCAUCGAGCUUAAUAUGGGAUUUUGGCUUAAAAUUGAAUGUAUUUGGCUGAAACAUUUUCAGCCUAUUUUCUUCUCCAAAGAAGAGAUAUUCAUCCUUGUUGGCGAAUAAUCCUUUCCUCAUUCCUGCAAAUUUGAUGCACGAGAAAAUAUGUCAGAAUUCAAGGGGAUCUGGACUUGUGCUAUAUUCAUCAUCUAAAUUAGAUAUUUCUACAUUUUGCAAGGACUUUCUUUGUUUUCGCACUUCAGAUAUGUAUGGAACAUUAUCUUGAUAAGGAAUAAAUGUUACCCCCUCUUCAUGUAUGAUUGUGGUUUGUAAAGAUUGUUGUAAAAAUCUUAACCCUAUUAUCAUGUCAUCAUUUAUUA